rnacentral:rRNA from 1 species
UACAGAGGGUGCGAGCGUUGUCCGGAAUCACUGGGCGUAAAGGGCGCGUAGGCGGUCUCUUAAGCGUGUGGUGAAAGCCCGGGGCUCAACUCCGGGUCCGGCCGUGCGAACUGGGGGACUGGAGCUUGUCAGAGGCAGGCGGAAUUCCGAGGUGUAGCGGUGAAGUGCGUAGAUAUCGAGAGGAACACCGUGCGGCGAAGGCGGGUUGCUGGGCUGACACUGACGCUGAACUGCGAAAGCUAGGGGAGCGAACGGG